UACGUAGGGUGCGAGCGUUGUCCGGAAUUAUUGGGCGUAAAGAGCUCGUAGGCGGUGUGUCACGUCGGCCGUGAAAACCUGCAGCUUAACUGUGGGCGUGCGGUCGAUACGGGCACCACUGGAGUUCGGCAGGGGAGACUGGAAUUCCUGGUGUAGCGGUGAAAUGCGCAGAUAUCAGGAGGAACACCGGUGGCGAAGGCGGUUCUCUGGGCCUUACCUGACGCUGAGGAGCGAAAGUGUGGGGAGCGAACAGG
rnacentral:rRNA from 1 species